rnacentral:rRNA from 1 species
AGUGAACGCUGGCGGUAGGCCUAACACAUGCAAGUCGAACGGCAGCACAGAGGAGCUUGCUCCUUGGGUGGCGAGUGGCGGCUGGGUGAGGAAUACAUCGGAAUCUACUCUGUCGUGGGGGAUAACGUAGGGAAACUUACGCUAAUACCGCAUACGACUUACGGGUGAAAGCAGGGGAGCUUCGGACCUUGCGCGAUUGAAUGAGCCGAUGGCGGAUUAGCUAGUUGGCGGGGUAAGGGCCCACCAAGGCGACGAUCCGUAGCUGGUCUGAGAGGAUGAUCAGCCACACUGGAACUGAGACACGGUCCAGACUCCUACGGGAGGCAGCAGUGGGGAAUAUUGGACAAUGGGCGCAAGCCUGAUCCAGCCAUACCGCGUGGGUGAAGAAGGCCUUCGGGUUGUAAAGCCCUUUUGUUGGGAAAGAAAUCCAUCUGGUUAAUACCCGGGUGGGAUGACGGUACCCAAAGAAUAAGCACCGGCUAACUUCGUGCCAGCCGCCGCGGUAA